rnacentral:rRNA from 1 species
CACGUAGGGUGCGAGCGUUGUCCGGAAUUAUUGGGCGUAAAGAGCUCGUAGGCGGUGUGUCGCGUCGGCCGUGAAAACCUGCAGCUUAACUGUGGGCUUGCGGUCGAUACGGGCAUCACUGGAGUUCGGCAGGGGAGACUGGAAUUCCUGGUGUAGCGGUGAAAUGCGCAGAUAUCAGGAGGAACACCGGUGGCGAAGGCGGGUCUCUGGGCCGAUACUGACGCUGAGGCGCGAAAGCUAGGGGAGCAAACGGG